UUGGAGGGCAAGUCUGGUGCCAGCAGCCGCGGUAAUUCCAGCUCCAAUAGCGUAUAUUAAAGUUGUUGCAGUUAAAAAGCUCGUAGCUGAAUUUCGGGGUUCUACCGUUGGUCGGGCUUUGUCUGUACUGGUGUGUAGAAUUUCUACCUUCUGGGGAACCAUCAUGCUAUUAAUUUAGCGUGGUGGGAAACCAGGACCUUUACCUUGAAAAAAUUAGUGUGUUCAAAGCAGGCUUAUGUCUGAAUACAUUAGCGUGGAAUAAUAGAAUAGGACGGUGGUCCUGUUUUGUUGGUUUCUGAAUCACCGUAAUGAUUAAUAGGGAUAGUUGGGGGCAUUAGUAUUCAAUUGUCAGAGGUGAAAUUCUUGGAUUUAUUGAAGACUAACUUCUGCGAAAGCAUUUGCCAAGGAUGUUUUCAUUAAUCAAGAACGAAAGUUAGGGGAUCGAAGACGAUCAGAUACCGUCGUAGUCUUAACCAUAAACUAUGCCGACUAGGGAUCGGACGAUGUUAAUUUUUCUUGACUCGUUCGGCGCCUUACGGGAAAC
rnacentral:rRNA from 1 species